AAAGUCGUAACAAGGUCUCCGUUGGUGAACCAGCGGAGGGAUCAUUACAGAGUUGCAAAACUCCCUAAACCAUUGUGAACGUUACCUACAAACCGUUGCUUCGGCGGGCGGCUCCGGGUCCGCCCGGUGCCCCUCGGCCCCCCCAGCGGGGCGCCCGCCGGAGGAAACCCAACUCUUGAUACAUUAUGGCCUCUCUGAGUCUUCUGUACUGAAUAAGUCAAAACUUUCAACAACGGAUCUCUUGGUUCUG
rnacentral:misc_RNA from 1 species